AGUACCUGCACGUUAACAAGAGUCGAUAAAAAUCCGAGCUUAGCAAGGUAGCAAUUUAAGGUUUAUCAAACUCUUAAGACAAUGGCAUCAAUCAAGUCUGAGAAACCUGGAGGGUCUCAGUCAGUUGGCUCAGCCAAGAAAGAGCCAGCCAAAGCUCCCGUCUCCAAACAGGGCCCUGCCAAAGGCGAGCAGAAGCCUCGGGAGCCUAAGAAAAAGGGAUCAGGUGCCAGAACAGGAGGAAAGAAAUGAGAAGAAGUUAAGUUGAAGUAACUUCACGUGUGCAACUAUUAUAAGCAGCCAGUUUGUUGUGGCUUCUGUUUAAGUACUAUGAAUGUUAUGUAGUUUGCCUUGUGAUUAUGUAACCUCUUGUCUGUCGCUUGGCCUAAUAAAACAGUGAUAUGUGGUUAAGGCAUUAAAGUACUUCAUUUCUUUGUGUUGAA